ensembl:lncRNA
UACUAACACAAGGCGUCACGCUGGGAGUGGGAACCUCCUUUCCUGGAAACCUUCAGGAUAAAGACAGCACUUAGGAUGACUUGCGAUCAUGUAUAAUAGUAGCCACUUCACCGUGUUGUUAUGAAGAUUAAAGGAGAUGAUGUGAGGAAAGCACGGAGCUUCGUGGCACAUGUUUGGCUCUUGGCAAGGUGCCAAAUCAGCAUGAAGUCUUUUUGAAGACGUUGUCAGCAGAGAUUAAACCAACGCCUGUGGUGCUGACGCUGCCCAAAGCUUAAGGACAAGGAUGACAAGAUGCGGAACCGUGACCAAGUUCGUGCACACGCACUACAUCACCGCCAUCUCCCGGCUGCUUGCGAUUUGAGAUGCCGCCCGUUACUACACACUUGGUAACGGCCUUAUUUCGGAGACGUUAAAAUUAUGUUGAAAAAGGCAAGAAUACUGGAGCAGGGUGUCAUUUCUUACAGCAGAGGAUCUUCGAGACCAAGCCCAGAAAUGAGUGGAGGUCAUUUGAGAAGGGUGGAGCCUCAGAUUGUUCUGUCGGCCAUACAGAGGAGAGGGAGAAUGUGAAGAAAGGUGGCAGAACCCAGCCUUUAUUGCCGAAGCCCUGCUGAUACACAGACCAGCUGUGUUACCAUUCACAGGUCACUUAAUCUCUCUGAGCCUCAGGUUCUUCUUCAGUUUCUUUAUAUGUAGAAUGAGCAGAUUGGACUGGAUGGCCUCCGAGCUUCUUUGUUGCAUGUUACAAUGUUUACAAUUGUACCUUUACAAUUUACUUACUUCCCCUGAUCUCAGAAUGAGUAACCCUGAGAGCAGCAAUAGCAUCUUUCAGUAGAGUGGAAGCAAGUCUCAGGAAAUAAAAAACAAAGCCUGAUGAAAAUAACAACAGAGGAAAAUGACAGC